rnacentral:lncRNA from 1 species
UUCUUAUCCAAAGCAUGCAUAGAAACAUAGCCAAAGCUUUGGAUAUCAUAUCAAACACAUAGAAGGUGAAGUGGCAUCAUAACAUAAUAUGGUCCAUCUAUUUCUGAAUGACCAACAAACAUAAGUCUCCCACGUCUGGGAGCUCCAUCCACCCACGUCUGAGUGAAGUCAUAGGGGACCGGCAGAGCAUCGCGGGCUCUAAGCAUAACUCCCUUUACCAUUUCGGGCAAAGGUUCACAUUUAUCCCACAAACACCGGAGUACAAAGGGACAGUAUGAAUAAUGAAAUUAGCAUAUAUUGGAAGCACAUGCGGAACAAUGAAAUGUACAUAUGCCUUUCGAGUCAAUACGAUACAAACAUAAUCUUUCACA